rnacentral:rRNA from 1 species
CCUACGGGUGGCAGCAGUGGGGAAUAUUGCACAAUGGGGGAAACCCUGAUGCAGCGACGCCGCGUGAGUGAAGAAGUAUCUCGGUACGUAAAGCUCUAUCAGCAGGGAAGAAAAUGACGGUACCUGACUAAGAAGCCCCGGCUAACUACGUGCCAGCAGCCGCGGUAAUACGUAGGGGGCAAGCGUUAUCCGGAUUUACUGGGUGUAAAGGGAGUGUAGACGGCAGCACAAGUCAGGAGUGAAAUCCCGGGGCUUAACCCCGGAACUGCUUUUGAAACUGUGCGGCUGGAGUGCAGGAGGGGUAAGCGGAAUGCCUAGGGUAGCGGUGAAAUGCGUAGAGAUUAGGAGGAACACCGAUGGCGAAGGCGGCUUACUGGACUAUAACUGACGUUGAGGCUCGAAAGCGUGGGGAGCAAACAGGAUUAGAUACCCCUGUAGUC